rnacentral:lncRNA from 1 species
AGACCGCCCAGGAGGCGGCGGCUAUUGUUCCCCGCAGGGGCCCGGGGCGCCCUGAAACGGGGUCCACGUCAGCCCGCUCCCGAGCGUGUCCUCAGCGCUGUGAACAAUGGAGCCAUCAAAAAGGCCUUCUCCCAGCCUCCUCACCAACCACGGACAUUCCUGGCCCAACAAGACCUCCUGGCCAGGUUUUGAGCCCUGCUUCCCAGAUCUGGGGACCCUUCACCUGCCUCUACUACUGCAAAUGAUUGGAUAUUCGUCUGACUUGGCUCUUCCCUAAUGUGUGGAACUAAUUUUGUUCACUCUGUUUCAUGCUGGACCUGGCCUGAAAAUGGGCCCUUAUAUUGUCUUUGCACUUUCCAACUUGCCAAGUUUCUGAAAGAAGGACCAAAGUAAUGCCAAGAACUCCCAGAUGAAGAGGACCUUCCUUAGACCUAUAACAGAUUCACUACUUGACUUCAGAGGGAAGUUUCAGCUAAUUCUCAGGAAAAGGUCAAAACAGGCCUGUGACUGUCCCUUGAAUACUGAAGGUAUAAACAAGCUUCUGGCUCCUCCAGGUCAAGCAGAGGAACACUUUUAUUAGAAUGAAGGGUUACUUCUUUGUUAUUCAAACACACACCCACACACAUCCUCUGUAGUCUCCCUAAUGAAAAACCUCAACAGAUGGAGAGCCUGAGCU